rnacentral:rRNA from 1 species
CACGGGGGGAACGCGAAGAACCUUACCUACCCUUGACAUCUACAGAAGCCGGAAGAGAUUCUGGUGUGCCUUCGGGAACUGUAAGACAGGUGCUGCAUGGCUGUCGUCAGCUCGUGUUGUGAAAUGUUGGGUUAAGUCCCGUAACGAGCGCAACCCUUGUCCUUAUUUGCCAGCGAGUAAUGUCGGGAACUCUAAGGAGACUGCCGGUGACAAACCGGAGGAAGGUGGGGACGACGUCAAGUCAUCAUGGCCCUUACGGGUAGGGCUACACACGUGCUACAAUGGCCGGUACAAAGGGCUGCGAGCUCGCGAGAGUCAGCGAAUCCCUUAAAGCCGGUCUCAGUCCGGAUCGGAGUCUGCAACUCGACUCCGUGAAGUCGGAAUCGCUAGUAAUCGUGAAUCAGAAUGUCACGGUGAAUACGUUCCCGGGUCUUGUACACACGC